UUUCUUUUCCCUCUCCUCCCAUUUUCAUUUCCCUUUUUCCAAAAUUUCUUUCCCCCCUUGUGUCUCAGAGCUUUUUUUUGUUGACUAACACUUCCCCUUUCUCAUAUCUUACUUCCUCCCUCUGCCAUCGAUUAGGUGUAUAUGGUGAUGGGUUGGAGUUAUUAAGUUUAGAAACCCUAACCAUCUCUCUGCUUUCAUCUCUCUGUGACAUACACCAGCUGUGAUUUAGUUGUUAAGAUUCACUUUUAUUGGUAUGUGGAGCUUCUUAAGCACGAAAAUGAAGGAGAAUGUGAGAUCAAACUGAGUCUAGGGCGUUGUCAAAGCUUGUUAGUGGAGGUGGAGUCAAUGUUAGUGAGUAUGGUCCAGAUUGCACUCCUGUUAUUGUGUAUAACUUUCUUUAUGUGUUGCCUAAACUGGUUAGUGGAGGUGGAGUCAAUCUUGACUCUGAACGCGAGAAAGAAGAGAGCUAGACAUUUAGGAUCAUUGGAUGAGAUACCAACGGCUCCAACUUGCUCCAUGUCCCACUUUCUUAUAUGCAAACAAAUGUUUUCAACUUUUGGCCAGAUAUUACAAGGUUCUCCUGGCUAUUUUGGCUCUCAUGGGAAAAUGAAAAGAACUUUUGGGUCUUACAAGAGGCAAUUGUUUUUUUUUUUUGGUGUUGAUGAGGGGCAUUAGACCCCGAUAUAAGAGGCAGUUGUGGUUAUGCAGGAGCAAGCUUACAUAUACAUGUUGCUAGUUUAUCUUUCACAUUGUAAUAUUUACAGUAUAAAAGAUUUUGCGAUUUAAUUUUUUUCAAAUAUAUUGUGAGAAUAUUUUCA